AUUGAACGCUGGCGGCAGGCUUAACACAUGCAAGUCGAGCGGAGAUGAGGUGCUUGCACCUUAUCUUAGCGGCGGACGGGUGAGUAAUGCUUAGGAAUCUGCCUAUUAGUGGGGGACAACAUUCCGAAAGGAAUGCUAAUACCGCAUACGCCCUACGGGGGAAAGCAGGGGAUCUUCGGACCUUGCGCUAAUAGAUGAGCCUAAGUCGGAUUAGCUAGUUGGUGGGGUAAAGGCCUACCAAGGCGACAAUCUGUAGCGGGUCGGAGAGGAUGAUCCGCCACACUGGUACUGAGCCACGGCCCAGACUACUACGGGAGGCAGAAGUGGGGAAUAUUGGAAAAUCGGCGGAAGCCUGAUCCAGCCAUGCCGCGUGUGUGAAGAAGGCCUUUUGGUUGUAAAGCACUUUAAGCGAGGAGGAGGCUACCUGGAUUAAUACUCUAGGAUAGUGGACGUUACUCGCAGAAUAAGCACCGGCUAACUCUGUGCCAGCCGCCGCCGUAACAC
rnacentral:rRNA from 1 species